rnacentral:lncRNA from 1 species
UUUUUGACCAUUUUUUUCAAAUUUUGAGCUCUAGUUUCAGAUUUUUGAACAUAGCGCCCUUCGAUACCUUGCGCAAAAGAAGCGCCUGUUUCUCCUCUACAAGACCUAUAUAGUCAUACCCCGUGACACCCCUCAUUAUUUUUCUCUAGAAGCCCUGGAAUAGGCCGACCCCCCUGUUUUUUACCAUUUUUUUUCAAAUUUUGAGCUCUAGUUUCAGAUUUUUGAACAUAGCGCCCUUCGAUACCUUGCGCAAAAGAAGCGCCUGUUUCUCCUCUACAAGACCUAUAUAGUCAUACCCCGUGACACCCCUCAUUAUUUUUUCUCUAGAAGCCCUGGAAUAGGCCGACCCCCCUAUUUUUUACCAUUUUUUUCAAAUUUUGAGGCUCUAGUUUCAGAUUUUUGAACAUAGCGCCCUUCGAUACCUUGCGCAAAAGAAGCGCCUGUUUCUC